CCUACGGGAGGCAGCAGUGAGGAAUAUUGCGCAAUGGACGAAAGUCUGACGCAGCGACGCCGCGUGGAGGAUGACGGUCUUAGGAUUGUAAACUCCUGUUAAGUGGGAAGAAAAUAAUGCUCCUAAUACGAGCGUGAAAUGACGGUACCACUAGAGAAAGCACCGGCUAACUUCGUGCCAGCAGCCGCGGUAAU
rnacentral:rRNA from 1 species